rnacentral:rRNA from 1 species
AAAUUGAAGAGUUUGAUCAUGGCUCAGAUUGAACGCUGGCGGCAGGCCUAACACAUGCAAGUCGAACGGUAACAGGAAGCAGCUUGCUGCUUUGCUGACGAGUGGCGGACGGGUGAGUAAUGUCUGGGAAACUGCCUGAUGGAGGGGGAUAACUACUGGAAACGGUGGCUAAUACCGCAUAACGUCGCAAGACCAAAGAGGGGGACCUUCGGGCCUCUUGCCAUCAGAUGUGCCCAGAUGGGAUUAGCUUGUUGGUGAGGUAACGGCUCACCAAGGCGACGAUCCCUAGCUGGUCUGAGAGGAUGACCAGCCACACUGGAACUGAGACACGGUCCAGACUCCUACGGGAGGCAGCAGUGGGGAAUAUUGCACAAUGGGCGCAAGCCUGAUGCAGCCAUGCCGCGUGUAUGAAGAAGGCCUUCGGGUUGUAAAGUACUUUCAGCGGGGAGGAAGGUGUUGCGGUUAAUAACCGCAGCAAUUGACGUUACCCGCAGAAGAAGCACCGGCUAACUCCGUGCCAGCAGCCGCGGUAAUACGGAGGGUGCAAGCGUUAAUCGGAAUUACUGGGCGUAAAGCGCACGCAGGCGGUCUGUCAAGUCGGAUGUGAAAUCCCCGGGCUCAACCUGGGAACUGCAUUCGAAACUGGCAGGCUUGAGUCUUGUAGAGGGGGGUAGAAUUCCAGGUGUAGCGGUGAAAUGCGUAGAGAUCUGGAGGAAUACCGGUGGCGAAGGCGGCCCCCUGGACAAAGACUGACGCUCAGGUGCGAAAGCAUGGGGAGCAAACAGGAUUAGAUACCCUGGUAGUCCACGCCGUAAACGAUGUCUACUUGGAGGUUGUGCCCUUGAGGCGUGGCUUCCGGAGCUAACGCGUUAAGUAGACCGCCUGGGGAGUACGGCCGCAAGGUUAAAACUCAAAUGAAUUGACGGGGGCCCGCACAAGCGGUGGAGCAUGUGGUUUAAUUCGAUGCAACGCGAAGAACCUUACCUGGUCUUGACAUCCACAGAACUUUCCAGAGAUGGAUUGGUGCCUUCGGGAACUGUGAGACAGGUGCUGCAUGGCUGUCGUCAGCUCGUGUUGUGAAAUGUUGGGUUAAGUCCCGCAACGAGCGCAACCCUUAUCCUUUGUUGCCAGCGAUUAGGUCGGGAACUCAAAGGAGACUGCCAGUGAUAAACUGGAGGAAGGUGGGGAUGACGUCAAGUCAUCAUGGCCCUUACGACCAGGGCUACACACGUGCUACAAUGGCGCAUACAAAGAGAAGCGACCUCGCGAGAGCAAGCGGACCUCAUAAAGUGCGUCGUAGUCCGGAUUGGAGUCUGCAACUCGACUCCAUGAAGUCGGAAUCGCUAGUAAUCGUGGAUCAGAAUGCCACGGUGAAUACGUUCCCGGGCCUUGUACACACCGCCCGUCACACCAUGGGAGUGGGUUGCAAAAGAAGUAGGUAGCUUAACCUUCGGGAGGGCGCUUACCACUUUGUGAUUCAUGACUGGGGUGAAGUCGUAACAAGGUAACCGUAGGGGAACCUGCGGUUGGAUCACCUCCUUA